GAUGAACGCUGGCGGCGUGCCUAAUACAUGCAAGUCGAGCGAACAGAUAAGGAGCUUGCUCCUUUGACGUUAGCGGCGGACGGGUGAGUAACACGUGGGUAACCUACCUAUAAGACUGGGAUAACUUCGGGAAACCGGAGCUAAUACCGGAUAACAUUUGGAACCGCAUGGUUCUAAAGUGAAAGAUGGUUUUGCUAUCACUUAUAGAUGGACCCGCGCCGUAUUAGCUAGUUGGUAAGGUAACGGCUUACCAAGGCGACGAUACGUAGCCGACCUGAGAGGGUGAUCGGCCACACUUGAACUGAGACACGGUCCAGACUCCUACGGGAGGCAGCAGUAGGGAAUCCUCCGCAAUGGGCGGAAGCCUGACCGAGCAACGCCGCGUGAGUGAUGAAGGGGUUCGGCUUGUAAAACUCUGUUAUUAGGGAAGAACAAAUGUGUAAGUAACUGUGCACGUCUUGACGGUACCUAAUCAGAAAGCCACGGCUAACUACGUG
rnacentral:rRNA from 1 species